AUGAAGAACUUCCUUACUGAUGUUAUAAAGCUCAUAGUAUUGGAAGUUCCUAUGCAAGCUGCCGAGAAAGAGAAGUCAUCAAGUUUUGAACAACUGCGAUCACUACGGACUACAAUAAUGACUGACAGACAUAGAUGACUAUUGUGUUCUGGUCCUCCAUUCCACUGGAGAAGAGGUGCAAAGAUCAUUCUGUGAGCAUCAGUUUUGUCAAAGGCAGCAUUUCUAAUAUCAAGGACACACAUGUGAGGAUAUUAAGAGGAGCAACUAACAGAGAAAACAAUGCAAAAUGACGUCCUUCCUAUGCUGAACAAUUAUUUAACUUGAUGGAAAUGUCCCACGUUGCAGUUAAAAUACAAACCAUUACAGACAGUGAAGCUGAACAGAAACCUUGGAGACUUACUAUCUCAGAGAAAACAAGGGACUCUUCAGUAUCCUCACUCACAUUGUAACCAGAUUUACUUCACUAAGGAGAAUCACUGUCUACUCGGGAUGCUUCAUUUCCAGUGGAUGUGUUUUCAGCCAAAGGGUCGCAAAUGCCUCAGCAGGUCAGUUCUUAUAAUUUAGGAGGCAAUUUUAUCCACGGAUCCACGUCUUUAAUAGCAAGAUUAGAAUAUUUCAUUCC
rnacentral:sRNA from 1 species